AGGAAGACGAAAUAACCGAGAGAAAUUAAAUCUCUCAGAUUCAUAG
rnacentral:lncRNA from 1 species